rnacentral:rRNA from 1 species
GACGAACGCUGGCGGCGUGCUUAACACAUGCAAGUCGAACGGUGAAGCGCCUUCCUUUUUGGUGGGUGUGGAUGAGUGGCGAACGGGUGAGUAACACGUGAGUAACCUGCCCCCUUCUUCUGGAUAACCGCAUGAAAGUGUGGCUAAUACGGGAUAUUCUGGGUCUGUCGCAUGAUGGGUCUGGGAAAGAUAUUGUUUCGGUGGGGGAUGGGCUCGCGGCCUAUCAGCUUGUUGGUGGGGUGAUGGCCUACCAAGGCGGUGACGGGUAGCCGGCCUGAGAGGGUGGACGGUCACACUGGGACUGAGACACGGCCCAGACUCCUACGGGAGGCAGCAGUGGGGAAUAUUGCACAAUGGGCGCAAGCCUGGUGCAGCGACGCCGCGUGAGGGAUGGAGGCCUUCGGGUUGUGAACCUCUUUCGCCAGUGAAGCAGGCCUGCCUCGUUUGUGGGUGGGUUGACGGUAGCUGGAUAAGAAGCGCGGGCUAACUACGUG